UUUAUCCCGUACGCUUUCAGUGCCUUCUUCCUCCCAAAAGUGCAUCUCACCUGAAAGCAUCCAACGCCAUGGCCAUGGCCGAGCUGCCAUGCUUUACUUCCAGCUCGAGGCGCCACACCUAGCGACAAAUCAGGGGCCACCGGAGCUGCAACCGUCUAUUUUGGUCGAGUUGCAUCCAGCGACGCCAGGCGGUGGUGACUACAACCGUGGAGCACAAAGCUGCAUACAACGGCAAGGAGGGCUACAAUCAGCGGCGCCCCUCGACAGCAGAGUUGCAAUUGUGCACGUCGGAGUUGCAACCGGCGUUUGGGGGAGUUACAAGGUCAGAUGUUGAGAUGUGAUUAUUUGCUGGAACUGGAGGUAUUGUUCGAACCGGGUGGUGCAGGCCGACGACAACGACGAGCCGGAGAUGGCGACACCGUGCUAUGAUGGGAUGCGUGAUUUGAUGGACCGACUUUUGUUCAGAACUGCAUCUGGCAAGACGUGGUGCUGAAACAACGACAAGAUGAGGAGGGUGCGCGACGACUGCUACUUCAAGCCACGGAGAGAAGCGGGGAGCUGCGAUGGACGAUGAUGGCGGCGGCCGUGGAGGGACAUGGCAAGCUAGCUGCGGCGGCCAUACAGGGGCCACUGAAAGGCGUGGGGGAUUUUGAUCCUGUUCGGGGGGGAAGGAAAGAACAAAUUGUAUGGCCUGGGUUGCUCCAAUCAAAUGGCUACUAGCGGACCGGCCAAAAUUUGGACCUCGUUUAGAAUUUAGGCAUUAUUUUCCCCCUUGCUUUUGCACUAAUAGGUUUCAUGUUACGCCAAUUUGAACUUGCUCGGUCUGUUCAAUUGCGGCCUUUGUGCGUAAUCCUAUUGUAUACCAUCACUGAUAAACUCCAGAAUAAGCAAUAUUCACUGGACCAGCAGCACCUCCUCGAGUAAAGGCUUCC